UACGAAGGGGGCUAGCGUUGCUCGGAAUUACUGGGCGUAAAGGGCUCGUAGGCGGCCAGCUAAGUCAGACGUGAAAUCCCUCGGCUCAACCGGGGAACUGCGUCUGAUACUGGAUGGCUUGAGUGUGGGAGAGGGAUGCGGAAUUCCAGGUGUAGCGGUGAAAUGCGUAGAUAUCUGGAGGAACACCGGUGGCGAAGGCGGCAUCCUGGACCACGACUGACGCUGAGGAGCGAAAGCCAGGGGAGCAAACGGG
rnacentral:rRNA from 1 species